AAGAUGCAGGGCGCUGCUGCCGUUUGACCAAUGAGCGCGCUCCCUUCCACCGCGCUAACCAAUAGGAGACGGCUCCGCUUGAGGCGGCACCGCGACCGGCGCGAGGGCGGUGGCUGGUGGCGUUCUGAGCUUACGGAGAACUGGAGGGAGAAGGGGAGGCAGCAGAUGAAUGGAGCUACAGUAACCUCUAAUCCGUCCCAGAGCCUCAGAUACAGCGGCUACACCUGAACUGCAGGAAGAUCUAAUGGGUCUCCUGAUCCACAGUGCCUGCUACUGACAAGAUGUGAGCACCUGCUGGGAGCUUUCCCUUGUCCAGGGCAAGCUUCUCCUCCAAUGCUGAUUGUCACACUACUGAUAGAAAUAGAAGUCCCUCCACCAGCCAACAUGCUCAGAAGCUGUUAGAGAUGCAGGCAUGCAGCAUGGUAACAUGAAUCUUUUGUCUGUAAAAACAAAGCUAUUACUCCAGCCACUGCCUUCAGCAGCCAGGCUGGCUGCUGUCUCCAUCAAAGGAGAUCACAAAGUUUCUUACUGAGUUUUAUUUUGAAAACAAGGGCAGUGCAAGACUUACUGAAAAAUAACGCACUUCAUGUUUAACUCAUAAAAAAUAGGAACAGUAACUGUUUCCUGACAUAUAUUUGACCUUUAUGUGAGCACACAAUUUCAACAUCCUGAAUGUCUGCAGCUGAAGUUUUCCCAGUGGAUUUUCCAGCUUGCUUAGACCUAUACCAAAGCGUAGCUACAGAAAUGUAAUUUGUACAUAAACAUCCAACCUACAUCUAUACGAGUUUCUAGCUGAUGCUGUUCAUGGCUGCCAUACGCCAUCAAGAAUAAAUAACUUCACCUUUCAGAAUGUAACAAUUACACUUAGAAAUUUUUAUAUAAUGCACCUAUAUCAAAACUGAACUGUAAAUUAAGCCAAACAAAGAAGAAGGAAAAAUGGGUAUUUAAGAAACUUCCUUUAAAGCCAAUUGUUUAAUCUCAAUCCAAACACUCACAAUAGCAGGAAACUGGAGGAUAAUGUGUUUACAGUUGUAUAAUAGCUCCAAUGCCAGAAAGACAUUCUCCGUCUAUAUUAAUAAAAGAUCCUUUAAAAGAUGAAAAAUAAGAAUAGUUCAAAGCCUGUUGGCUGAAUCCACGUAAGACAAAAGAUUUGGACACACAUGAUGCAUAUUAUUUUGAAUUAGCAAAUACUCUAUUAAACAUUUCUACUUUCCUGACAAAUCAAUGCUCAAAAUGGUUGGAAGGACGGGUUACUUCCCUUAUGAUGAAAAACAGAAGUGGAUUUUUGGGGAGAAUUUCUACCCUUGUUUUUGAGUGCUACUCUGUUUUUAACUCUCCCGUCAUUUUUCCAGCAACCAGCUUGAAAGCAACAGUUAAUAUCAUACACCUUCACCUGCACUCUUCCCCAUAAAAGCUGCCAAAGAUCCCAAUAACAUAAAAAAGUUAAACUCACUUAAGAAUGGUAGUUUAACUGCAGAUGGCAUGAUACAUGUGGGUAUUGUCUCAGACACAGGGUUUGAAUGUUGGGUGGUCCUUUGUGAAGCCACUCAAUGAUCCUGGCGGGUCCCUUCCAACUUGGGAUAUUCUAUGGUUCUGUGAUACUCAAUGCCUUCUUUAUUGGUCUUUAACAUCUGCGUUCAGGAACUGUAUGCUCCCACGAUGGAACAAUAAAGUCUAUAACAAGGAAGACUUAACCUUGGUGGAGGAAGAUCAAGUUACGGAGCAUUCAAACAAAGUGAACUUAAGUAAGUUCAUGGGACCUGAUGGGGUGCAGCCGUAAGUGCGGAAGGGGUUGAUGACAUGGCGAGGCAACUCUUGAUAAUCUUUGAAACAUCAGUGAUAGAGCAAGUUUCCUGGAAACUGGAAGAAAGCAAACAUUGCUAGUAUAUUAAAAGUCAUGUAACUACAGGCUCACCUUGAUUUCUGAGAAGCUGAUGGUGGAAAUUCCCCUGGAAGCCAUUUCAGAACAUAAGUAGGUCAAGAGCAUUGACUUACAAAUCAGGAAAUCACAUCUGACCAAUCUGAUUGCCUUCAGCAACAAAAUGCUUGGUGGAUGAAGGGAGAGCAGUGGAUUCUGUUUACGUUGACUUUAUCAAGGCUUCCAACACACAAAGCAAUGAAGUGUAGACUAGACAAACGGACAGUAAGGUGGACUGAAAACUGGCUGAACAACCUGCCCAGAGGUUUGUGAUCAGUGGCAUGAAGUCUGACCACAGGGCAGUCAGUGGUGCACUGCAGGGGUUCAAUACUGAAACCAGUACCAUUUUGUAUCACGACUAGUGGCCUGGACAAUGGGACAGAAUGCAACACCAGCAAGUUUGCAGACAACACAAAGUUGGGAGGAGUGCCUGGGAGACAAGAUGGGUGUGCUGACAGCCAGAAGGAUGGAAAGGCUAGGUAACUGGGCUGACAGGAAUGACAUUAAACUCAACAAGGGAAGUACAAAGUCCUGCCCCAGCACACGCUGGGUGUUGCCCAACUGGAAAGCAGCUUUGCACAGAAGGACCUGGGGUGUCCUAGAGGAUGCCAAACUGGCCAUAAGACAGGAAUGUACCCUUAUACCAAAGGGGGCAAACAGCCUCCUGAGCUGUGCUUGCAGUUUAGGGAGGUGAUUCUUCCCCUCUGCUCAGCACCAGCUGGCAUGUCUAGAGUGCUGAGUCCAAUUCUGGGCUCCCCAGUUCAAGAAGGCAUUGACACCCUAGAGGAUACCCAACAGAAGCCCAUGAAGGUGGAUUCAAACAUUCGACACGUGAGAGGAGUGGGAGAGUUGGGACUGCUCAGCUUGGAGGAUGCUCAAGGGGUUCUCAUCCAAAAGUAUAAAUGCCUGAUGGGAGGAGGUAAUGAAGUCAGAGACAGACUUCUUAGGAAGGGUCCAGAGUCAGAACAAGAGACAGCAGGCUCAAACUGAAAUACAAGAAAUGGUAUUUCAACUUAGUGCAGACUUUUCUGGGAGGGUGGUAGAACACUGGCACAGGUCACCCAGAGAAGUUGCAGAGUCUCCAACAUUGGAGAUACUCAAAACCCAACUGGACAUAGCUCAGAGUCAAGCUGACUGUGUCAGGUUGUCUUUUCCCUAUUUAUGUGUACAGGAUGGAGUAGAGUCGUGAACCGGCUGCUUUAGUAAUCUGUGCUUUAUGCUGGUAAUGCACAAGGCAGGAGUUUAACACACUCGUGCAAUGAACAGUCCUGGCUCUCAGCUGGGUCAGCCUGACUCACUGCACACUCUAGAUAACGUAUGUAAUUUAGAAAAUACAGCUGGGAUUUUGGAUAUUAACUUUAUUUUAAUAAAACAAAAGGAAAUCAGCUUUCAUGAUACGUAAGUCAGCUUCGGAUACCCACUGUGGAUGGACGAGUUGUGAAAAUAACAACUCUGAAUUUAAAUGAAUAAGGAACAGAAAAACAAACUUUUCUGUUCAUGUUUCAUUCCUCAAUCACCAUUCUAUCUUUUCCAUUUUAGAAACAGCACUGCAGGUAAAAAAAAAAAAAAAA